AUUGAACGCUGGCGGCAGGCCUAACACAUGCAAGUCGAACGAGUGGCGGACGGGUGAGUAAUGUCUGGGAAACUGCCCGAUGGAGGGGGAUAACUACUGGAAACGGUAGCUAAUACCGCAUACCAUCGGAUGUGCCCAGAUGGGAUUAGCUAGUAGGUGGGGUAAAGGCGCACCUAGGCGACGAUCCCUAGCUGGUCUGAGAGGAUUACCAGCCACACUGGAACUGAGACAGGGGCCAGACUCCGACGGGAGGCAGUAGUGGGGAAUAUUGCACAAUGGGCGAAAGCCUGAUGCAGCCAUGCGGCGUGUAUGAAGAAGGCCUUCGGGUUGUAAAGUACUUUCAGCGUGGAGGCGUUACCCGCAGAAGAAGCACCGGCUAACUCCGUGCCAGCAGCCGCGGUAAUUC
rnacentral:rRNA from 1 species